GCGAUCUGCGUGUGUGUGGCGAAGCGGGAAGCGGCUGGGAGAAAUAUUGCCUGGAGGCAAUAGGGAGGCACUGGGAGUGUAUGCAAGACGACACCAGGCCCUACCAUAAGCUCCAUGAAAAUGAUGAGAAUGACUUCCAAGGCUGUGAGUUGUGGCUGAUGAGAGAAGCUAAGAAGAGCAAUCUCAAAACUAAUUGAUGGAGCCGCAUGGAACAUAGAUUUGGAUGCAUCUUUAGUCAGGUGCAGGGACAUGUAAUGCUCCUCUUAGGUGUUGUGCUGACAGGAGCAACAGAAAACAGUAGACAGCUUUUGCUUCUGGAAGAACAGGAUGAAAUGAUGAGUAAUGGCUGUAGAUUCAAGGAACAUGUCUACCUUGUUCAGACCAGGUAAAUGCCUUGUUUUCUCCCCCAGCAUUGUUUCACAGCCCAUGUCACACUGUGUUUAGUAACAGAGCCUCAUAAAACUUUGGUGUGAUAAUUCUGUGUCAUGUAUGGGAUUUUUCCUCUUCCCUUCUAUCUCAGCCCUCAGAAGGAUGCUGUCUGCCCCAGUCUGUGCAGAGCUCCACAAUAUGAGCCAGGGGCACAAGCAUGCAUGUGUGUGCCUGACAACUGCAGGGAGCAUGCAUGAGCACAGCAGGGAUUCAAGCAGAGGAAAUCCAUGUGCAGGACUGCAGUCAGUGCUGGUGGUGAGGCUGCUGGGAGCAGGGCUGGGGGCAGAUCCACCCCCAGCCCUGACACCUCUCACUGCCCUGCUACUGUGGUAUCACAGUGCUCUGGGCAAAUGAAUCUGCUGCUUUGUACUAUAGACUCCCCAUCUGCUAGUACAGGGAUAGUGACUUGAUAAAAUGCUGCAUAAUAGGUUACCAUGUUUUCAUAGUCUGAAUGAAAUCAUUAUUUGUGGGAGACGGAUUGCGUUGGCAAAUUCCAUUGAGAAUUGAUUCCUGUGUUUGGCAUUUUCCUGGUCUCAGCAUAGCAAUUCUUUUCGUGAUACAUCUCAGCACUUCUGAGCAUCUACCUUAGCAAUUAAUACUGAGUAUUAAUGGGAAAUCACUGUGAAGUGUCCCUCUCUUUAAAGCUCUUUGCGUGGUUCUGCUGACCUUUCUUGGGUGCUUAAAAAAAAAAGUGCAUACAGAAUAGACAUGCAUUUGCAACCUGCAUUGAAUUGUGUGUGGUAGAGAGCGCUCGUUGCCACAUUGUGCUGGUGCUGUGUCAUUGCUGCAUGCAGAGACAGGUUGUGAAUUUGUAGAGAACUUGCUUUUGUGCACUAACUGUGCACAGUGAUUCAAAGGGAGCGGAGGAGCUGUGUUUUGAAGCUGGUACUUGGCACAAGCUGAACUACAACAGUGCAGUUAUUGUGUGGAAACAUGAAAUUAUUUCCUGUUGCCAGGACUUGUGGUGCAGGAACACACAUGGGCAUGUGUGUGGAUAUAGUAGUGCUCUUGGGAGAGGGAGGAGAGGAUGAAAGUGAACAUCUCACAUCUCUUAAAAUGGCACAUGCUUGGGCACAACUUGGAGCCUCUGGAUCCCCUGGGCAGCAGCUCCAUAAAGUCUGUCUGCAGUGCUGCAUCUUCCUUGUUCAUGGCACAGACCUCACCAUGCUGUCCCCAGAUAAAUUCUCUUUCUGCAUUAUAUUCUGAGAGAUGUCCCCGCAAAGCAUCUGAGGGGCUGACAGCAGUGUCAGACCUACCAUAGCACAGCUGGGCGUGCUCCGGCCAUGGCACUGCCCAUACUUUGCAUACAAUGAACUGCUACUUGCAAUUCCUGGGGCUUGCUCCUGCACAUACACAUCCUGCAGGUUCCUACAGACACCUGAGGGUAUCGAGCCUUCAAUUUCCUAAAUCCCUUGAAAAAUCUAAACUAAAACGAAAGCAUGGGGAGUUGGCCUUCUCACUAAAGAGGAUGGGUACAAAUCCAGUCAUCUUUGCAUUUAGUAAUCCUUCUCACUAUAUAAGAUUUCUCCACACCCCACAUUCGAGAUUCAUCAUGUAUUAAGCAUGUUCAUGUCUUCAAGUCCUUGUGGAUCUUUGUCACCAGGAGCCUGCACUUCCUUUGUUGUUUGCAAGACGGAGUUACUCAGUUUGCUUAUAGUACUUACAGACUUAGUACAGUUGAAAUAUACAGGCGUCCUUCCUUUCUGCCCCAAAGGAGCUGGGUUGCUCUGAAUUUGAUUUGUGUGGAUUGUGCUCCUUCAUGGGACUGAGUGAUUUCAACACAGGAUUUCCUGGGAUUACCCUCUUGCCCCUGACUCUUGUCCCUGCCUUUUUCUGCACUGCUUGGUUAUCUGAACAGUGUUUGCAGGCCACUAAAAGAAAUCCCCGCAUUCCAGAAAAUACAGACAACAAAAGAGACAGGCAGAAAAGUGGCACUAAUACUUUGACAUUGGUGGGAAUCUCAACAGAAAGCACUGUGCUAAAGGUUAAGGGAUCAUCACUAUCAAGAAAAAAGUCAUAGUAUGGAAGAUUUAGCUGUAGUGUGCUGACUAGAAGAAAAAAAAGAACUCUUACCUUGUAGCUUUUUCUUUCUGUCUCUCUUAAUGGAUAUCACAGAAUCACAGAAUUGUAGGGAUUGGAAGGGACCUCCAGAGAUCAUCGAGUCCAACCCCCUGCCAAAGCAGUUCCCUACACCAGGUCACACAGGUAGGUGUCCAGGCAGAUCUUGAACGUCUCCAGAGAAGGAGACUCCACAGCCCCCCUGGGCAGCCUGUUCCAGUGCUCCGUCACCUCACCUAAAGAAGUUCUUGUGCUCAAUUGCAGAUCCUGAAGGUGAUGGUUUUGUGACUGCAAUUAUGGAGUUGGCUUUUUAACGGCAGUUGCACCCUGCUAACGUGCAUCUCUUUGUGACACAGGCAGAAGACGGGCAGCAGUACUGCAGCUCCUCUGGCAGCUUUGCAGCUAGGUCAGGAAGCAGAAGAUGUGGAUUUGAAAGAAGAAGUCAGUUCCUGGGACGUUCCCCUGUUCUUCCCCUUGCUGUCCCCUUGCCGCAGCCUGGAUUCCCCUUGCAUUCCUAUACGUGUCCCUUCUAUCGCCCAGACUGCUCCUUGCUUUCCCCAAGGUCACCCUUUACCUUCCCAUGACAGCCCACCCAUAAUUACCUCAGAGCCCCAAUAGCUCCCUCAGUAUUUCCUCAGCAAGACCCCAUCGGCACCCCACAGCUCCUUAUUGGCCUUCUCAGACCUGGUACUCCUCCCCCAUAGCUGGCCAAAAACCACACAGACCUCCACAGCAGCACCCCACGUUCCCCACUGGACUCUCACUGAACCCCCUUAUUUCCUCUCUCAGACCUCCCUUACCACCUCAAGGGCUCCUUAGCGACCUCACAGACACCCACAGUCCCUGACAGGACGCCUGUCAUCAAUUCCAGGCCACCUCCUCACCCCCUUUUCCUUCCAGAUCCCAUACAACCAUACGGUGCUGGGGCUGGGGUGACUGCUGUGGAGCUGAAGCAGGUGUAGGACACAGAUGUGGGUGAAAGUGUGGGGGGCACUGGGGAUAUGGAGGCACAGGAG